ACGAACGCUGGCGGCGUGCUUAACACAUGCAAGUCGAACGGAAAGGCCCUGCUUUUGUGGGGUGCUCGCGUGGCGAACGGGUGAGUAACACGUGAGUAACCUGCCCUUGACUUUGGGAUAACUUCAGGAAACUGGGGCUAAUACCGGAUAGGAGCUCCUGCUGCAUGGUGGGGGUUGGAAAGUUUCGGCGGUUGGGGAUGGACUCGCGGCUUAUCAGCUUGUUGGUGGGGUAGUGGCUUACCAAGGCUUUGACGGGUAGCCGGCCUGAGAGGGUGACCGGCCACAUUGGGACUGAGAUACGGCCCAGACUCCUACGGGAGGCAGCAGUGGGGAAUAUUGCACAAUGGGCGGAAGCCUGAUGCAGCAACGCCGCGUGCGGGAUGACGGCCUUCGGGUUGUAAACCGCUUUCGCCUGUGACGAAGCGUGAGUGACGGUAAUGGGUAAAGAGGCACCGGCUAACUACGUG
rnacentral:rRNA from 1 species